AGACGCCUUGCCUCAAAAUCUGCUUCCUGUGGUAUGGAAGGAAUGGUCGUAGAUGAAUUCGCCAGCAAGCUCUUUUAAUUAGGAUAACAUUUUAUCUCACCAUACAAUAUUCUUUAAUUCUUUAUUAUUUUGUAUAGUCCUCUAACAUAGCUUCACACCCUAUUCAUUCAGAAUAUGCACAUAUUUUUGUACGUACCUUCGUGUAAUUCACACUCAACAAUCCAAAUUUAAUUCUCACAUUUCUCUCUAUCUUUAUAUCUCAUAAGUUUUGUAAGGAGAUGGC
rnacentral:lncRNA from 1 species